AAGUCGUAACAAGGUUUCCGUAGGUGAACUUGCGGAAGGAUCAUUCAUAAUAAGCGUUUUAUGGCACGUUUUAAAUCUAUAUCCACCUUGUAUGAAACGUCAGUCGAUCUCCUUCAUGGAGAUCGGCCAAACAUCAACCAUUCUUUUAACUCUUUGUCUGAAAAAUAUUAUGAAUAAACAAUUCAAAAUACAACUUUCAACAAUGGAUCUCUUGGCCCGC
rnacentral:misc_RNA from 1 species